rnacentral:rRNA from 1 species
GAUGAACGCUGGCGGCGUGCCUAAUACAUGCAAGUCGAGCGAACGGACGAGAAGCUUGCUUCUCUGAUGUUAGCGGCGGACGGGUGAGUAACACGUGGAUAACCUACCUAUAAGACUGGGAUAACUUCGGGAAACCGGAGCUAAUACCGGAUAAUAUUUUGAACCGCAUGGUUCAAAAGUGAAAGACGGUCUUGCUGUCACUUAUAGAUGGAUCCGCGCUGCAUUAGCUAGUUGGUAAGGUAACGGCUUACCAAGGCAACGAUGCAUAGCCGACCUGAGAGGGUGAUCGGCCACACUGGAACUGAGACACGGUCCAGACUCAUAAGGGAGGCAGCAGUAGGGAAUCUUCCGCAAUGGGCGAAAGCCUGACGGAGCAACGCCGCGUGAGUGAUGAAGGUAUUCGGAUCGUAAAACUCUGUUAUUAGGGAAGAACAUAUGUGUAAGUAACUGUGCACAUCUUGAAGGUACCUAAUCAGGAAGCCACGGCUAACUACGUG